rnacentral:hammerhead_ribozyme from 1 species
AUCCAGCUGACAAGUACCACAUAGGACAAAACGUACGUCCUGGAU